rnacentral:ncRNA from 1 species
GGACCAUGUCCGUUCUUAGUUGGUGGAGUGAUUUGUCUGGUUGAUUCCGAUAACGAACCACCUUGCACCCUUCUCAGAGGGACAAGCGGCUCCUAGCCGCACGAAACAGAGCAAUAACAGGUAUGUGAUGCCCUUAGAUGUCCGGGGCCGCACGCGCGCUACACUGAAGGAAGCAGCGUGUUUUUAUUCCUGUCUAUAUAAAACCGUAAGCUUAGAAAAAAGUGACUUGAGCAAAUACAGAGG